CCCUGUUACGUUCCAAGAGUGUUACGUCGUUACCGCUUUCUUCCGGCGAGAGCCCUCGACAAGAGUGUCUCUCGGUGCUCGUCGGUUUGUGCCACAAGACGGAAGGAACAGGAAAGGAGCAGUGGAAGAAAGCUGACGGUGGUGAAUAUACAAAGUGGCAGACAGAAGAAAAAGAUAGAUAGGAGGAAGACGGUAGAUUCGAGAGAAAAAAGUGAAACAGGUGGAAGAGGAUCGCGGAUAGACGUAGAGAAAGCGCGCGGGCAAACUGUGCGUGGAAAGGCAUUUCUUCUGAUGUCACGUCCGGCUGGCGACAGAAGGGUGAAAAUGAGUUUUCAACGACGCGAGAGGGAAACAGGGCUCGUAAAAGAGGAGACGGUAACAACGGACCCAAGCAAAGAAUGGAACAGCUAUGUAGAUCGAAUCCUGGAACAAAGUUACUUUUCUUGCUCGUUGUUCAACGUCAAAGAUAUUUUGGAAAAUUGAUGCGAACCUGCGCCGUUAUGCAACGGGAAAUCGAUCGAUUUCAGGGGGUUGCGUGUAAUUUUGAGGGACGCUCCAGGAUUGUCCCUGUGUCUGUCGGAUAACGAAGUUUCUUGUAAACGCAUUUUCGCGUAAAGUGGAAUAUAGCGAAGCGAAAAAAAUUAUUUGAAACGCUUUUAACGCUCCCCAACAACUUUUCCAUUUUAUCGCCGAGACGGGAUUAUUCUUGUUAACGUGACCGAAACACGUUGCCCAACGAGUGUCAUUUGUUCGAUUGUUUAGCUUCUCCUUCAUUUUUCAUUUAUCGUCGCCAGUGACGGUCCUAGUACGGAGUAAUGUGUUCGAAAGAGAAUAAAAGCUACAAAACGUUGAUUGAGAAACAGCUAGGGAAAGGAAAAGGACAAAAAAGCGAGGGGGAUUGUCGAAAUGAGCAAUAUUAGUCGGGCGUGAAGUAACUUCCGUGAACUUUUUUACAAUCCAAGCCACGGAUAUAAAUCUCCUCGCCAGCUGACGAGAGGGAAAAGAUGAAAUAAGAAACGUGCUAACAAGGAAAGUUCGAGGGUCGAUAUUGGCAGAUAUUGAGGGAAGUUGAAAAACAAUUCUUCCUUCGGGUCAUGAUGUACGAAAAACUUGACAAACAAUUUUCUACAAGUUAUAAAGUCACUUUUUUCAUCGUAUCUUCAAUCUAAUGGUUUUUAACAAUUACAAAUGCAAGCAUUUGAAUACUUUUGUAAACGACUGUAUCAUUUCGUUCUUUUACCACCAUCACUGUCAUCGGGUACAAUUUUAAAGCGUUCUCUACCUCGCUUCUUGCCAAAAAAAAAAAAAAAAACGAAAAUGAAGGUAAAGGAGAAGCAAAUGGUAUGUUUGUGUGCACCGAUGCAUCCGCCCAUCAGAGGAUUAUCAUCAACAACGAACACGGUGAAACCAAUGAAGACAUCUGUUUGAUACCCUCUGCUAUUACGAACACGGUGCACAGCAAGAAAAAUAAGAACGAAAAGUCAGGAUGGUAGUGGAUUUAAGUGGGACGGAAGAAGAAGAGGCAAGGAUAAAGGGUAGAGUAAGAACAAACCUCUAACAUGGAGGAUACAAGGCACGAGAGGCAAGGCAAUCGAUCGUCGUACUUACAGAAAACUAAAUAAACUCAACUAACUAAAGAAGAAAGUCUCUUGAACCGUUCAAAUUAUUUCACUGAACAACCGAGGAGAACAAUUUUAUCACCUCAACCCUUUGGACAACCAAUGCUUCUUAUGGUCAAUGGAGAAAAUUUUAUUAUUAUCAAUUGCGAGGUUUCAAAAAUCUAUUUCUUCAGAAAUAAAAAUUAGGAAAAUUAUGUGCACUGAAGAAUCAAUUUGAAAACAGCUGUUACAGUGAAGAAAAUCUCAGCCAACGUGAUCUAUCAACAUAGGAAAGCUCAUUAAAAUCAGAAUCGGUCAGAAGGGAGGCUGUCCUUGUUAGAGUAGUGGUCAAACCGCAGAAGCUUGGGUGAAUCCCCGAGAGUAACGGGUAAAGUUACAGGAAAAAGCGGGAGAACUGUGUGAUCGGUGUGCUGAAACUUGCCAGGCCGCAAGUGUCCGCUAUUUCCGGUUUAAAAGAUGGUGCACGGGGCAAGGAGACGAAUCGCUCUCCUGUUUCUGGUAUACGGUAGUAUCGCGGUGCCUAUGGGUGCAGUAGAAGGAAGAAGGAACCUUGCGGUCUAGACACGACGAAAAUACUCGACUCGUUCGGUGGUGUACAAUAAAACGGUGCUUUUGCAUCCCCGUUUCGCUCGCCUGGAACAGUUGUUCCCGUAGGAACGGUCUCUGGCGUUAGGGGGAAACACGCUCGACCCUCCGUGAAAGUCUUUCGCGCGAAUAAGAACGAGAUUAACGCGACGCUUUGGCAGCGUUCCGAGGGCAAGGGACCUAAGGCGUGUACGCAUUCGCACCGAACUAACGACACUUCGUUUUCGUUUACAGAAUAGCUUCAGGCGGCCGGAAAAUGAGCGACCGAUACAAAAGGUUCUCCUCUGUGACACCAGGUAGCAAGCUUGAAUCCUUUGGGAACCCGACUCGUAUCGACGAUUGCUCGUUACGAGCUUUCCAUCCACCCACUGUCACGUUGAAUUUCUUAAUCGUGUAUACUUCAAACUUCCAUCCUCCCCUUUGUAUUCUAUUCACGAGUUUCCAGCCUCGUACAUUUUAGCCCCGGGCUAAAUAACUUAACGGUAACCCGAAGGAAUUGAACCGGUGCGAGAAUUGGGUAACUUUGGAGAAUUCGUGAAAUUAGGAUAACUGGGAGAGAUAUUAAAAAUACAGGUAAAUUUUACGAUACGAUUGAAUCUUUACGAGGUGAUAAAAGAAUGGUUCAGAAAUUUUAGACCAGAUUCUGCUUUUCAGCACAAAAAUAAUUUCAAUUUAAAUCUUGAGUCUUUAGAAACAGAAUACAGGGAGUAAGAGAAUAAUAGAGAAAAAUAAUUUAACGUAGUAUAGGAACAAAAAUUGUUUCAAUUUAUUACGGUGCGAACGUAUAGUAUAGGAGAAAAUCGGUUUCCCCUCGCUAAUGGGAAACAGCGUUUCUUUCAAUACACGUGUGUGUACGCGUUUUCCUCUAUUUUUCAGAGUCCAUUUUUAUUCAUUUUGUUUCUAAUAUUGUAUAAAAUGCACCAUUUAAUUUUUUAAACAAAACCAAAGUUAUUUAAAUUCCAUCACCUAACAAACAGUAAGAUGGUUUUCUAAUUAAUUAAACGUUUAUAUGAUCAUUUUCAUAAAACUUAAAGCUUUAAAUUAAUGUAUCGUGAAUGCAAUUUUGAAAUACUUUUAUGUCAUGAAAUUUGAUUGUAGAUUUUCAAUAUUUUGUUAUAAUUCAGGUAAAUGAUAAAAUUGAGAAUCACUGAGGCCGAGAGCCGAACUGACAGAGUAGGAAAGCAAAUCCGGGGUGGCGGAAGGUAGGGCAGAGUAAAGGAAACAGGGAAGGUAAAGGUAGAAGAGAGCGAGCGAGCGAAACUAGGGACCUCACAUGUCGUGGCCGCGGGGCAGUACGGUUAUACAGGGCCCAGCUCCGAUUCCCGCCCCGGUAGUUUCCCAUGAUUGAGAUACGUAAUCGUUACUCCCCGAUGUAUAUCCUGCGUACUCACCGUUCUCGAGAGCAUUUCGUGCUCCCGCACAGAGAUGCUCCUUUCUUUCAUUCCCCUUUACCCAUCCAUUCCCACUUUCCUAUACACACAUCCACCCGUACCGGGUAGUCCUUUCUCUAAAAUGUAGACUUUAAAUCAUGUCCUGUCCACCGACGAACGUCUCGAUAGAAUCGAGCGCCGACCAUGAAGAGAACGGAGGCGUAGUAAAUUCGCAGGCUUCGUGGAUUGUCGGUGGUCUUCGUUAUUCAGAUAAGCGCAUUUCGUAUGCUCGAAUGAUGGUUUAUGGCUAAUAUAUUCGACCAUCAUCUCGAUCAUUGUGUUUAGUAGACAUCCUUUUAUAUAGAUAUCCCGAUUCGAAUUCCAAAAUUGCUAGGGAAACGUUAGGAAUGUUUUCCUAUAUAGUAAAAACAUUUUUAAAAUUGUUAACUGCGCCCAUUAUUCCGUUCACUUCCUGUAGAAUCACGAAUUCUACAGUGAUUCAAGAGAACCUUCCGCAAUCUUCAUCCCUCCACUUCAAUCGCGCAACAACGUUCUUCCAUCAAGGAAUCGGGUUUAAAUCACAAGCAAUUCAAUUGCCGCAAAUUUUCAAGAAACCUCUUACGAUUUUAUCAGUGGGGUAGGGUAUCGCAAAUACGUAUUCAUACUGGUGGCAUCACCUGCCACUGCUUCUCUUAUGGACGUCCACCGUAUAAUAUAUCCAUUAAGAGGAUUAUCGAGGAAGAUAUAAGAACAUGGACUCCCUUUCUGAUGUACCAUGGACGAUUUUAAAGAGUCCUUCUUAUGUGACAGUAUAAAAAAUUCAAAUUUUUAUAAUUCUACAUUUUGCAAAUAUAAUGCAGGAUGUUUUAAUUAAUCCUUAAGUAUUAUGGAUAAAUAUCAAAACUUUUCCUCUAUUUCUUCUUUUCUUUUUAUAAAUAAAAUGUCAAGAUAUUUUACAGGAUUAAUUUAAUCGUGAAAGCGUUAAUAUAACUCAUGUGUGGUAUAGAAUUUGAUUUCCAAGCAGAAUCGUGUAUGUUCGCCUGAUUUUAUCGACGCAGGACGAAUCGUAGUAGCGUAUGCAAUUCACUCGAGUAACGGGUUGCGUUGUGGUAAAAGAGAAUUAACGAAUUCCCGGAGGACCCCGCGGACUGAUAAUAUCGCGGGCCAUACGUGUCCAAAUGUAUCUUCCCGAUAACGACAAAGCCGCAAUUACCGUGGAUCAAUGCCCGUUUCUGUACGGUUACUGCAUAAUGGCCAAUAACCGUGUUACGAAGCGGUGUUAAUUUGUUUCGAAGAGCCUCGGUUAAACAGAGCUACCUGCAAAACGUUUUUCGAUGAUCUCCCUAUGUAACGGUACAUUUGAUACCCUUCAACAAUCAAUUCGUGGUACGAAUUUUACAAAAAUAUUCGUAGGAAAAUUGGAAUAAAAAAUAAAUUUUAUUCUUGGAUUAGACGUGAUCGAAUUAAAUAUUCAAUUUUAGUU